UACGGAGGAUCCGAGCGUUAUCCGGAUUUAUUGGGUUUAAAGGGUGCGCAGGCGGGGGAUUAAGUCGGCGGUGAAAUUUUGCAGCUCAACUGUAAAAGUGCCUUCGAAACUGGUUUCCUUGAGUGUAGAUGAAGUAGGCGGAAUUUGUGGUGUAGCGGUGAAAUGCAUAGAUAUCACGAGGAACUCCGAUUGCGCAGGCAGCUUACUAAACCAUAACUGACGCUCAGGCACGAAGGCGUGGGGAUCAAACAGGAUUAGAUACCCCUGUAGUUCCU
rnacentral:rRNA from 1 species